rnacentral:rRNA from 1 species
GAUGAACGCUGGCGGCGUGCCUAAUACAUGCAAGUAGAACGCUGAAGAGAGGAGCUUACUCUUCUUGGAUGAGUUGCGAACGGGUGAGUAACGCGUAGGUAACCUGCCUUGUAGCGGGGGAUAACUAUUGGAAACGAUAGCUAAUACCGCAUAACAAUGGAUGACACAUGUCAUUUAUUUGAAAGGGGCAAUUGCUCCACUUCAAGAUGGACCUGCGUUGUAUUAGCUAGUAGGUGAGGUAAUGGCUCACCUAGGCGACGGUACAUAGCCGACCUGAGAGGGUGAUCGGCCACACUGGGACUGGAACACGGCCCAAACUCCCACGGGGGGCAGCAGUAGGGAAACUUCGGCAAUGGGGGCAACCCUGACCGGGCAACGCCGCGGGAAUGAAGAAAGUUUUCGGAACGUAAAGCUCUGUUGUAAAUCAAGAACGGGUGUGGGAAUGGAAAGUUCACACUGUGACGGUAGCUUACCAGAAAGGGACGGCUAACUACGUG